GACGAACGCUGGCGGCGGGCUUAACACAUGCAAGUCGAACGGAAAGGCCCUGCUUUUGUGGGGUGCUCGAGUGGCGAACGGGUGAGUAACACGUGAGUAACCUGCCCUUGACUUUGGGAUAACUUCAGGAAACUGGGGCUAAUACCGGAUAGGAGCUCCUGCUGCAUGGUGGGGGUUGGAAAGUUUCGGCGGUUGGGGAUGGACUCGCGGCUUAUCAGCUUGUUGGUGGGGUAGUGGCUUACCAAGGCUUUGACGGGUAGCCGGCCUGAGAGGGUGACCGGCCACAUUGGGACUGAGGUACGCACCAGUGUCCUACGGGAGGCAGCAGUGGGGAAUAUUGCACAAUGGGCGGAAGCCUGAUGCAGCAACGCCGCGUGCGGGAUGACGGCCUUCGGGUUGUAAACCGCUUUCGCCUGUGACGAAGCGUGAGUGACGGUAAUGGGUAAAGAAGCACCGGCUAACUACGUG
rnacentral:rRNA from 1 species